rnacentral:rRNA from 1 species
GCCUAGCCUUAACACAACAAUUAAACUACCAAUUGUCCGCCAAAUAACUACGAGUAAUAACUUAAAAUUUAAAAGACUUGACGGUACCCCACAACAACCUAGAGGAGCCUGUCUAAUAAAUGAUACUCCACAAUUAACCCUACCUACCAUAGCCAAACAGUCUAUAUACCGCCGUCGCCAGCCCACCUCAUGAGAGAAUAAAAGUGAGCCAAACAGCUCCCCACUAAUACGACAGGUCAAGGUGUAACUAAUGGGUGGGACCAAGAUGGGCUACAUUUUCUUACCAGAACAUACGAAUCAACUAUGAAAAAAGAAACUGAAGGCGGAUUUAGCAGUAUAUUAAGAACAAAAAUACUUAAUUGAAACCAAUGCAAUGGGGUGCGCACACACCGCCCGUCAUCCCUGCAUCCAAAAUCUAUUCAUAAUAACAUAUUAAAAUAAACCAGGGCAAGUCGUAACAUGGUAAGUGUACUGGAAAGUGCACUUAGAAAC